UACAGAGGGUGCAAGCGUUGUUCGGAAUUAUUGGGCGUAAAGCGCGUGUAGGCGGCUUGGCAAGUCGGGUGUGAAAUCUAUGGGCUCAACUCAUAGUCUGCAUCGGAAACUGCCGGGCUUGAGUGUGGGAGAGGUGAGUGGAAUUCCUGGUGUAGCGGUGAAAUGCGUAGAUAUCAGGAGGAACACCUGUGGCGAAAGCGGCUCACUGGACCAUAACUGACGCUGAUGCACGAAAGCUAGGGGAGCAAACAGG
rnacentral:rRNA from 1 species